AUUGAACGCUGGCGGCAGGCUUAACACAUGCAAGUCGAGCGGAAGCACAGGGGCGCUUGCUCCCUGGGUGACGAGCGGCGGACGGGUGAGAAAUGUCUGGGAAACUCCCUGAUGGAGGGGGAUACCUACUGGAAACGGUAGCUAAUACCGCAUAACGUCGCAAGACCAAAGAGGGGGAUCUUCGGGCGUCUUUCCAUCAGAUGUGCCCAGAUGGGAUGAGCUAGUAGGUGGGGUAAUGGGUCACCUAGGCGCAGAUCCCUAGCCGAUCUGAGAGGAUGAUCGCCCACACGGGAACGGAGACACGGUCCAGACUCCUACGGGAGGCAGCAGUGGGGAAUAUUGCGCAAUGGGCGGAAGCCUGGUGCAGCCAGGCCGCGUGUGUGAAGAAGGCCUUCGGGUUGUAAAGCACUUUCAGCGGGGAGGAAGGUGUUGAGCUUAAUACGUUCAUCAAUUGACGGUACUCGCAGAAGAAGCACCGGCUAACUACGUG
rnacentral:rRNA from 1 species